AAGCAAAAGAAAAAUGGGUUCCAAACAGCAUUCAAUAAUUUUUGAGGUUCUCUUAUUACUCAUGCUUAUUUUGCAAUGCAGCAUGGCAACAGCAAGAACAAAUCCAUGGAUUCUAACUAAUACCGGUGAGAAAACUAUGUCCUUUAAAAUUCCGAAUGAGAUCAUUAAAGGAUCGAACGAGGUGAAAUCAAAUCUAGAAGAUGCUCCGCCUCAAGGUCAUAAUGGAGGUCGGACUCCUAGGAGGCCUCCUUAAAAGAGAUUGCACUUCGCGAAGCUCUCUCAACGUGAGAAAAAGAGACAAACGAGUAUGAAGAUUAUGAGAGAAAUUCUAUAUGAUCCCUAAAUUUCUUUUGGACCAUCCCAAUUUCAUGUUUUACCGAAUUAUAAGUCUCGCAUUUCCUUUUUUUGUAUCAUUAAGAAAAUAAACUCGAGUUGGUUACUCAAAAUAAUAAUGUUAUUUGGAUGUCAUUGUAUAGAGGUUGGAUCUUUUUUAAAAGAGAAUAUUGCACUUUCCUCAACAUGAGAAAAGAGAAAUGGAGACGAAGAUUAUGGUAGAAA